rnacentral:tRNA from 1 species
GCCACUGUGGCGUAGUGGUUUGAUUGUUAGACUAGGACUUUGGAGACCAGGGUUCGAUUCCCACUUGGCU